rnacentral:rRNA from 1 species
GUUCAAGCUCAGCAAUCUGUCUGAUCUCAGGAAAUAGGCAGAUUUGGGCCCGGUUAAUACGUGGAUGGGAAACUAUCUAAGAAUAUCAGGUGUCAUAGACU